GACGAACGCUGGCGGCGUGCCUAAUACAUGCAAGUAGAACGCUGAAGAGAGGAGCUUACUCUUCUUGGAUGAGUUGCGAACGGGUGAGUAACGCGUAGGUAACCUGCCUUGUAGCGGGGGAUAACUAUUGGAAACGAUAGCUAAUACCGCAUAACAAUGGAUGACACAUGUCAUUUAUUUGAAAGGGGCAAUUGCUCCACUACAAGAUGGACCUGCGUUGUAUUAGCUAGUAGGUGAGGUAAUGGCUCACCUAGGCGACGAUACAUAGCCGACCUGAGAGGGUGAUCGGCCACACUGGGACUGAGACACGGCCCAGACUCCUACGGGAGGCAGCAGUAGGGAAUCUUCGGCAAUGGGGGCAACCCUGACCGAGCAACGCCGCGUGAGUGAAGAAGGUUUUCGGAUCGUAAAGCUCUGUUGUAAGUCAAGAACGGGUGUGAGAGUGUAAAGUUCACACUGUGACGGUAGCUUACCAGAAAGGGACGGCUAACUACGUG
rnacentral:rRNA from 1 species